GAUGAACGCUGGCGGCGUGCCUAACACAUGCAAGUCGAGCGAUUCUCUUCGGAGAAGAGCGGCGGACGGGUGAGUAACGCGUGGGUAACCUGCCCUGUACACACGGAUAACAUACCGAAAGGUAUGCUAAUACGAGAUAAUAUACUUUUAUCGCAUGGUAGAAGUAUCAAAGCUCCGGCGGUACAGGAUGGACCCGCGUCUGAUUAGCUAGUUGGUAAGGUAACGGCUUACCAAGGCGACGAUCAGUAGCCGACCUGAGAGGGUGAUCGGCCACAUUGGAACUGAGACACGGUCCAAACUCCUACGGGAGGCAGCAGUGGGGAAUAUUGCACAAUGGGCGAAAGCCUGAUGCAGCAACGCCGCGUGAGCGAUGAAGGCCU
rnacentral:rRNA from 1 species